rnacentral:rRNA from 1 species
ACGGGGGGUGCAAGCGUUGUUCGGAAUUAUUGGGCGUAAAGAGCGUGUAGGCGGCGUGAUAAGUCAGAUGUGAAAUCCCUGGGCUCAACCCAGGAAGUGCAUUUGAAACUGUCUUGCUUGAGUACGGGAGAGGGAAGAGGAAUUCCUGGUGUAGGGGUGCAAGUCGUAGUUAUGAGGAGGAACGCCGGGGGGGUAGGAGACAUCCAGGCUCAGUACUGCGUCUGCUACGCGGUAGUGUGUGGAGCAAAAAG